rnacentral:rRNA from 1 species
UACGGAGGGAGCUAGCGUUGUUCGGAAUUACUGGGCGUAAAGGGUGCGCAGGUGGCGGCGCGCGCCCGACGUGAAAGCCCCCGGCUUAACCGGGGAGGGUCGUUGGGGACGGCGGGGCUUGAGGGCGGGAGAGGUCGGUGGAAUUCCCGGUGUAGUGGUGAAAUGCGUAGAGAUCGGGAGGAACACCUGUGGCGAAGGCGGCCGACUGGGCCGACCCUGACGCUGAGGCGCGAAGGCGCGGGGAGCGAACGGG